UUUUUAUUGGAAUGUGGUUGAAGCUUGGUUAUGGUGAAGAAUUUGUGAUUUUGUAAUUUUGGAGGUUGAAGAAAUUUUAGAGUGAAUGAUGAAAUGUGAAGUGAUGAAGAUGAUAAAAUUGGGAGAUGAAGAUGGUUAUGGUGAAAUUUGGUGAAUUGAGAUUUUUGUGAUUGGUUGUGAAUAGGGAUUAACCUCUCAUGAUGGUAAUGAGUGAUGUUUAAAUAGGAAUAAAAUGGAGGGAAAGUUAGUUAUGAAAGAUAAUUCAAAAUUAUUGGAUAGUGAUCCUUGUGGUGAGUUUAAGAGUGAUUCGGAUUGAAUUGUGUUAGUUUUGAGGGAUUAAGGUAGUUAUGGAUAGUUUAGAUGGUUAGAAAUGAAAUGUAAAUUUUGGAUUUGUUUGAAAUAAAAAUGAAUAUCAUUUGAUUUACUUGAAGUUGCAUCUCACAUAGUUUUAGCUUU
rnacentral:lncRNA from 1 species